ensembl:miRNA
GGUAGGAGGAUUGCUUGAGCCUGGAAGCUGGAGGCUGCAGUGAGCUAUGAUGGCCCCACUGCACUCUAGCCUGGGCAACA